AGGGCAUACGGUGGAUGCCUAGGCGCCAAGAGCCGAUGAAGGACGCGAUAAGCUGCGAAAAGCUAUGGGGAGUCCGCAAAUAGACAAUUGAUCCAUAGAUAUCCGAAUGGGGAAACCAACAGUGGUCAUGCACUGUUAUCCGAAAGGAAGGGAACCUGGGGAACUGAAACAUCUAAGUACCCGGAGGAAAAGAAAUCAAACGAGAUACCCCAAGUAGCGGCGAGCGAACGGGGCAUAGCCCAAACCAAGAAGCUACGGCUUUUGGGUUUGAGGACUAGCAACAAGAUGGUCAGGCUUAGCUAAAUUACCUGGAAAGGUAAGCCGCAGAGAGUAAAAGCCUCGUAAGCGAAAAGCAGAGCCAUCGGGGCUGUAUCCAGAGUACCACGGGGACACGAGGAAUCCUGUGGGAAGCAGGGGGGACACCCUCCAAGGCUAAACACUCCUUGGCGACCGAUAGCGUAUAGUACCGUGAGGGAAAGGUGAAAAGAACCCGGGAGGGAGUUGAAAAAGUACCUGAAACCGUAUGUCUACAAGCAGUCGGAGCGAAAGCGACGGCGUGCCUAUUGAAGAAUGAACCGACGAGUUACAGGCACUAGCAAGGUUAAGUGGAAAACACGGAGCCGCAGCGAAAGCGAGUCUUAAUAGGGCGAAAGUUAGUGUUUGUAGACCCGAAACCGUAGUGAUCUAUCCAUGGCCAGGUUGAAGCGCAGGUAAGAUUGCGUGGAGGACCGAACUCGUAAGCGUUGAAAAGCUUUGGGAUGAGUUGUGGAUAGGGGAGAAAAAUUCCAAUCGAACACGGAGAUAGCUGGUUUCUCCCGAAAUAGCUUUAGGGCUAGCCUCAAGAAGUAAGUAUAGACGGUAGAGCACUGGUUGGGCUAGGGGCCGUAUUGGUUACCGAACCCUGUCAAACUACGAAUGGCUUAUACUGGUAUCUUGGGAGUCAGACUAUGAGUGAUAAGAUCCAUAGUCAAGAGGGAAACAGCCCAGACCAUCAGCUAAGGUCCCAAAUGUCGUACUAAGUGGAAAAGGAUGUGUCGCUACAUAAACAACCAGGAUGUUGGCUUAGAAGCAGCCACCAUUUAAAGAGUGCGUAAUAGCUCACUGGUCUAGUGGCGCUGCGCCGAAGAUUCCCGGGGCUAAAGUACGAAACCGAAGCUAUGGCUUGAUACUUAAAGUAUCAGGGGUAGGGGAGCGUUCUCAUUGGGUAGAAGUUAAACCGGAAGGUUUGGUGGACUGAUGAGAAGUGAGAAUGUCGGUAUGAGUAGCGAAAAAGAAAGGUGAGAAUCCUUUCCACCGAAAGCCUAAGGGUUCCUGAGCAACGAUCGUCGUCUCAGGGUAAGUCGGGACCUAAGCCGAGGCAAGAAGCGUAGGCGAUGGACAACAGGUUGAAAUUCCUGUACCGGCACAAGUCGUUUGAGUGAUGGAGUGACACAGAAGGGUAGGCAAUCAGGAGAAUGGAAAUUCCUGUUUAAGCGUGUAGGGAAGUUUAUAGGCAAAUCCGUAAACUUUAAACCUGAGGCGUGAUGACGAGCAAGCAGAGAUGCGAGCGAAGUUGCUGACCCCACACUGUCAAGAAAAGCUUCUAGCGAGACAAGUGCCGCCCGUACCGUAAACCGACACAGGUAGGCGGGUAGAGAAUACUAAGGUGCGCGGGAGAACCCUCGUUAAGGAACUCGGCAAAAUGUACCCGUAACUUCGGGGAGAAGGGUAGCCAUAAGAGUAAAAGUCAGAAACGACUUAAGCUUAACGUGGGUCGCAGAGAAGAGGCCCAAGCGACUGUUUACCAAAAACACAGGUGCCUGCAAAAGCGAAAGCUGAAGUAUAGGUGCUGACACCUGCCCAGUGCUGGAAGGUUAAGGAAGGAUGUUCGAGCAAUCAAAGCAUUUGACCGAAGCCCCAGUGAACGGCGGCCGUAACUAUAACGGUCCUAAGGUAGCGAAAUUCCUUGUCGGGUAAGUUCCGACCCGCACGAAAGGUGUAACGAUUUGGGCACUGUCUCAACGAGGGACCCGGUGAAAUUGAAAUACCUGUGAAGAUGCAGGUUACCCGCGACUGGACAGAAAGACCCCAUGGAGCUUUACUGUAACCUGACAUUGAGUUUUGAUACAUUAUGUACAGGAUAGGUGGGAGUCUGGGAAGUAUGCACGCCAGUGUGUACGGAGACGACGUUGGGAUACCACCCUUAAUGUAUCGGAAUUCUAACUGAAAGAGUAACGACCUUCAGGACAGUGUCAGGCGGGCAGUUUGACUGGGGCGGUCGCCUCCUAAAAAGUAACGGAGGCGCCCAAAGGUUCCCUCAGCGCGGUCAGAAAUCGCGCGAAGAGUGUAAAGGCAGAAGGGAGCUUAACUGCAAGACAGACAAGUCGAGCAGGUACGAAAGUAGGGCUUAGUGAUCCGGUGGUACCGAGUGGAAGGGCCAUCGCUCAACGGAUAAAAGCUACCCUGGGGAUAACAGGCUAAUCUCUCCCAAGAGUCCAUAUCGACGGGGAGGUUUGGCACCUCGAUGUCGGCUCAUCACAUCCUGGGGCUGUAGUCGGUCCCAAGGGUUGGGCUGUUCGCCCAUUAAAGUGGUACGUGAGCUGGGUUCAGAACGUCGUGAGACAGUUCGGUCCCUAUCCAUCGCGGGCGCAAGAGAUUUGAAGGGAACUGCUCCUAGUACGAGAGGACCGGAGUGGACGAACCGCUGGUGUACCAAUUGUUCCGCCAGGAGCAUAGUUGGGUAGCUACGUUCGGAAAGGAUAAACGCUGAAAGCAUCUAAGCGUGAAACCAGCCUUAAGAUGAGAUCUCUCAUAGAGUUAAUCUAGUAAGACACCUUGG
rnacentral:rRNA from 1 species